GAUCCUGGCUCAGGAUGAACGCUAGCUACAGGCUUAACACAUGCAAGUCGAGGGGCAGCGGGAUUGAAGCUUGCUUCAAUUGCCGGCGGCCGGCGCACGGGUGAGUAACGCGUAUCCAACCUUCCGUACACUCAGGGAUAGCCUUUCGAAAGAAAGAUUAAUACCUGAUGGUAUCUUAAGCACACAUGUAAUUAAGAUUAAGGAUUUAUCGGUGUACGAUGGGGAUGCGUUCCAUUAGGUAG
rnacentral:rRNA from 1 species